AGCGUCUCCCGCCUGACGGCC
rnacentral:miRNA from 1 species